AACAUCGCGCACCUGCGGGAACCUGCGGAAGGAUCAUUACAGAGUUGCAAAACUCCCUAAACCAUUGUGAGCGUUACCUAAACCGUUGCUUCGGCGGGCGGCCCGGGUCCUUCCCGGCGCCCCUCGGCCCUCGCGGGCGCCCGCCGGAGGUAAACCAAACUAUUGCAUUGUAUGGCCUCUCUGAGUCUUCUGUACUGAAUAAGUCAAAACUUUCAACAAUGGAUCUCAGAUCGGAAGAGC
rnacentral:misc_RNA from 1 species